UUAAAGUUGUUGCAGUUAAAAAGCUCGUAGUCGAACCUCGGGUCUGGCGGGAUGGUCCGCCUUACGGUGUGUACUGUCUUGCCGGAUCUUACCUCUUGGUGAAGCCUUAUGCCCUUUACUGGGUGUAGGAUCGAACCAGGAAUUUUACUUUGAGAAAAUUAGAGUGUUCAAAGCAGGCCUUUGCCCGAAUACAUUAGCAUGGAAUAAUA
rnacentral:rRNA from 1 species